AUCUGGGGACCCUUCACCUGCCUCUACUACUGCAAAUGAUUGGAUAUUCGUCUGCCUUGGCUCUUCCCUAAUGUGUGGAACUAAUUUUGUUCACUCUGUUUCAUGCUGGACCUGGCCUGAAAAUGGGCCCUUACAUUGUCUUUGCACUUUCCAACUUGCCAAGUUUCUGAAAGAAGGACCAAAGUAAUGCCAAGAACUCCCAGAUGAAGAGGACCUUCCUUAGACCUAUAACAGAUUCACUACUUGACUUCAGAGGGACGUUUCAGCUAAUUCUCAGGAAAAGGUCAAAACAGGCCUGUGACUGUCCCUCGAAUACUGAAGACCCUCCCAGAGACCAAUGCCGGAGAGACCCGGAUCCGAGCUCCCUUUAUAUGGCCUCCCCCAUCACGGAACCCGUGGGAAAACCUGGCACACAAUGGCGCGGCUGCUCCGGGCACCCUCAAGCCAGCGCCCUGCGGCAAGGCCUGGAGCAGCCUCGUGGUCUUGAGCGGGAACCCAGCCGAGUGUGUACCGCCGGCAGUGGCGGGGGAGGAGGCGACUGUGUGUGCAUACCUCAGUCGGAGAGGGGGUGGCGCUGGGAAAUAAAGGUUUGCAACCUCAGGCAGUUGGGCCCUUCAGAGGGCGUUUGGUUGUGUUCAGACUCGGGUGCUUUCUAACACUAAUUGCAGGCUCAAAAGGAGCGGAAUUUAUUGCGAAGGCCAAGGCGGCUUGUUUAUAAUUUAUGAAGUUUUAAAUGGCUGUGCCGCGGGCCCCAACUUUCUCCUGGGCUGGCAGCCGCGCGGAAACGCGCCCUCCCACGGCUCGCCGCCCACCCCCACCCACGCCCCUCAGAUGAGUCUCACGCCAAUGGCAGGAACAGAUCCGAGCUAUUAGAAGUCUCGGGAACCUCCAGAGGUGACAGAAGGUGGCAGAUUUGGUCCAAGCCCUCACCCCACUCCAGAGGAGGGCGUCGGGGAAAGCUGCGGCUGCCUGGAGAGGGAGCCCCUGAUCCCACACUUCCUUGGAGCCUGAGUGUGAGAGGAAGCUAAUGUCAGCCGGGCUAGACACCGUUUAAAGUCUAAUCCAUGAAACCCUAAGCCACAAAUGACACUUGGGGCUUUGCAGACACCCGCAGACUCAGCAGAUACUCCUGCGGUAACACACUGUGCUGGAAAACGCCUGGAGCCAUGACACAUUAUGUAUUCUUAUUAUUAUUUAUGGUAGGAAGAGGAGAUGAGGGAAAAUCGGGCUGAAUCUAAGCAGCCUGAGAAUUCAGCUAGUUAAUAUUUAGCCAGUUAAGAAAGGUGGUUGUAAUCGCUGCAAGGCAGUGAGCGCUUCCUUGAUUUCUCUAAUAGCUUAAAAAAUAAUUUCUUACAAGACAAUUAGAAAUUCUGCCUAUGGAUGCAAAUUUCAUAGAAAACAAUGUUAAGCCUUGAAAGUGGGUAAAAUGUGCCUUCGAUUGAAAUCAUUUAUUCUGUUGAUACACUUCUACAACAUAUAUAUUUUAAACCUGCUCAGAUAAAGUGAAAUUUAGCAAAAGGAUAUCCCCUCCCACCCCCAAAUCUAACAUGCCAUUUUAAAAACAGCACAAAGGAACAAGGAAACUAAAUAUUAUUUUGAGCCAUCAUUACUUAGUGAAAUACAAACAUCCAAAUAGAAACGAUUGUUGUUCCACCAGAAGAUUAGAAGUUAAAUUAUUUCCACACAAUAGGAAUUUCACCUCGUGUCAUCGGGGAUGUAGUAGGAAUUGCAUUAUUUGUCAAACCAAAUAGAGAUGUGUGGGCUGACUUUGCUGAAAUACAAAAGAAUUGAACCUUAUCUGAAGGCGUUUUCUAAGUGGCCCCUCCCAUAGAAGCCGGGAAGUUGUCCACCCCAAGCAGAAGCCACAUUAAUAUUUACAAAAUGGUUAUAAAUCCUUGAAGACAUUUUUGCCCAUUUUGUAUAAGAAACAGGAGUAAACAAGGUGUUUAUACUUGUUAUGUUUCAUUAAUGAAACUUUUAUUACUUUACAUCAUGGGGAAUGUUUGUUUUCUUUAGAAAUGAACUAAUGAUCACUACAAAGGAAGAAUUCAUGACAGCAUUUCCUAGAGAAAAAGCUUAGGUGCACGUCUCCAAAUGAUGGUUUCUUUUUCUACACCUUAGCUUUUUCAUAGCUCAAUUCUUUUUACAACUUCUCUUGUGUUUUUUUUUUUUUUUUUGAUUGUCAGUUUUCUUUCAAAGUUUAUUUUUUGUUACUUAAUGCAGAAAAGUGAGCUCUGGCCUCCCCAGUGUAAAGUCGAUUGUGUCUAGAAAGAAGGCAGUAAAAACAGCAAAGCAGGCGCUGCUUUCAAAAAGCCCUGCCCAAAUCAUCCUGCCCAGAACCUUUUUAGGUUUGCAUCCUCAUUUCCCCCUCCCCUAAUUUCAAUAGCUGGAAAGUAAUCAAGUAUCCCCAGAACCAAUUUAUGCACUAGACUCCAAAUAAAUAAAAUAUUUUUUUCAAAGUGUCAGUCUGUUUCGAGGCCUUCCAUGGGGAUUGUGCAAGAUAAAGCCAUAGUGAUCUGCUUCCAAGUGUGCAUGAUUAACACAGAUACACUUCCGACUGGGAAAUUUUUUUAUUCUAAAUAUUUGUUCCAAUAGUACCAGACAAUUUGAAAUCAAUAAACUGUGGUGAGGGCUGUGGUUUUUGAGAAAUGACCAACGUGUGUUGUGCCACGCCACCGGGCUUCCUGACUCUACCUAUGAAGGACAAUUUGCGGUCUUAAUCCUUUAUGUCAACUACAAACACCAGCCACGGUUACGACUGUUCAAAACUACUCUCUCAACUAGUUCAGACCAAGGGGACUAAGGAGGUGAAAUGUGGCCCCCACGGCCUGGAAGCGAAUUCCUAAGCUCGGCUGGAUAAAUCUACAAAUAUACACAUAAAUACAUUCAGACACGGAUAAAUAAUCAGGGAAACGAAAUGACUCGCUUCAAAUAAUAAAUACAGAUAGUUUAGUCCGAUGCGAUCCUUACGGGACAGGAAGGAGAAUAUAAAUUAAGGUCUCUGAAACUAAGCUAGCCGCGGGCUAGGCCCAAGACUCUCCAAGCUCUGGUCCCUCUGCAGGGCGCGCCGCCGAUGGGUCUCAGACUUACCUUUGGGACACCAUUACCAGAUUAGAGUCCCUUGGUCCGCAGUAUGUGGCACUGUCAAAUUUACAGGGAAGGAUCCUUGCGGCUGAUUUAUGGCGAGUCACCCAAAGGAAGACGCCCAUGGAGGGGAGGCACGGUCGCCUGCGCCUCCGCCGCUGGAGGCCUGAGACCCGGGAGGCGGCGGCAGGGCAAGAGCGGGGAAGGGGGUUCCCGAACUGCCUCGCAGGCCCCACCCGCCUCCCCACCACUACAGCAAGAGAG
rnacentral:lncRNA from 1 species